rnacentral:rRNA from 1 species
CCUACGGGCGGCAGCAGUGAGGAAUAUUGGUCAAUGGGCGCGAGCCUGAACCAGCCAAGCCGCGUGAAGGAAGACUGCCCUACGGGUUGUAAACUUCUUUUAUAAGGGAAUAAAGUGAGGCACGUGUGCCUGUUUGUAUGUACUUUAUGAAUAAGGAUCGGCUAACUCCGUGCCAGCAGCCGCGGUAAUACGGAGGAUCCGAGCGUUAUCCGGAUUUGUUGGGUUUAAAGGGAGCGUAGAUGGGUUGUUAAGUUAGUUGUGAAAGGUAGCGGCUCAACCGUAGAAUUGCAAUUGAUAAUGGCAGCCUAGAGUGCAGUAGAGGGAGGUGGAAUUCGUGGUGUAGCGGUGAAAUGCUUAGAGAUCAGGAAGAACACCGAUUGCGAAGGCAGCUUACUAAACUGCCACUGACGUUGAGGCUCGAAAGCGUGGGUAUCAAACAGGAUUAGAUACCCGUGUAGUC